UCCCCAGUGGCUCAGUCGGUUAGCGCGUCGUACUUAUAAACAGUAUUGAGUAAUGCGAAGGUCGGGAGUUCGAUCCUCCCCUGGGGAA
rnacentral:tRNA from 1 species